GACGAACGCUGGCGGCGUGCUUAACACAUGCAAGUCGAACGGAAAGGCCCUGCUUUUGUGGGGUGCUCGAGUGGCGAACGGGUGAGUAACACGUGAGUAACCUGCCCUUGACUUUGGGAUAACUUCAGGAAACUGGGGAUAAUACCGGAUAGGAGCUCCUGCUGCAUGGUGGGGGUUGGAAAGUUUCGGCGGUUGGGGAUGGACUCGCGGCUUAUCAGCUUGUUGGUGGGGUAGUGGCUUACCAAGGCGUUGACGGGUAGCCGGCCUGAGAGGGUGAACGGCCACAUUGGGACUGAGAUACGGCCCAGACUACUACGGGAGGCAACAGUGGGGAAUAGUGCACAAUGGGCGGAAGCCUGAUGCAGCAACGCCGGGAGCGGGAUGACGGCCUGCGGGUUGUAAACCGCUUUCGCCUGUGACGGAGCGAGAGUGACGGUAAUGGGUAAAGAAGCACCGGCUAACUACGUG
rnacentral:rRNA from 1 species